GGAGUCUCUGGCACCCCAAAAUCCGCCCCCCGAGCUGGGUUUUUGGGGGGCACUCACGGCGGGUGACGACUCGGUUGAGGAUGUUCAUGAGCUCGGUGGGGCUCACCUCCAUGUCCUGGGGGGAAAUGGGGGGUCAGGAACCCCAAAAUCCUGAUCCCAAAUCCUGGGGAUCCCCAAAUCCUGAUCCUAAAUCCUGGGGAUCCCCCAAAUCCUGAUCCUAAAUCUUGGGAUCCCCCAAAUCCUGAUCCUAAAUAUUAGGGAGCCCCAAAAUCCUGAUCCUCAAUAUUGGGGAGCCCCAAAAUCCUGAUCCCAAAUCCUGGGGGAUCCCCCAAAUCCUGAUCCUAAAUCUCAGGGAGUCACAAAAUCCUGAUCCUAAAUCUCUGAGGGAUCCCCAAAAUCCUGAUCCCAAAUCCUGGGGAUCCCCCAAAUCCUGAUCCUAAAUAUUGGGGAGCCCCCAAAUCCUGAUCCUAAAUAUUGGGGAGCCCCAAAUCCUGAUCCCAAAUCUUGGGAUCCUCCAAAUCCUGAUCCCAAAUAUUGGGGAGCCCCAAAAUCCUGAUCCUAAAUAUUGGAAAUCCCCAAAAUCCUGAUCCUAAAUCCUGGGGAUCCCCAAAAUCCUGAUCCCAAAUCCUGGGGGAUUCCCCAGAUCCUGAUCCCAAAUCCUGGGGAGCCCCAAAAUCCUGAUCCCAAGUCCUGGGGAGCCCCAAAAUCCUGAUCCCAAACCCCUGGGGGAUCCCCCAAAUCCUGAUCCCAAAUCCUGGGGAUCCCCCAGAUCCUGAUCCCAAAUUUCAGGGAACCCCAAAUCCUGAUCCCAAACCCUCGAGGGGAUCCCGGAGGAUCCCAAAGGGUUCUGGAGGGUUCCCAGAGCUCGGAUGGAUCCCAGGGGAUCCCAAAAGGUCCUGAGAGGUUCCCAAAGCUCCGAUGGAUCCCGGAGGAUCCCGGCAAAUCCCAGGGGGGUUCCCAAGGCCUUGGGUGGAUCCCAGAGGAUCCCAGGGGGUUCCCAAAGCUCAGAUGGAUCCUGAUGGAUCCUGGAGGGUUCCCAGAGCUCAGGAGGAUCCCAGGGGAUCCCAAAGGGUUCCCAGUGGAUCCCAGAGGGUUCUGAGAGGUUCCCAGAGCUCAGAUGGAUCCUGGAGGAUCCCAGUGGAUCCCAGGGGGUCCCAAAGAGUUCAGAGGGGUUCCCAGAGUUUGGGAGGAUCCCAGUGGAUCCCAGGGGGGGUCCCCAGAUCUCAGAUGGAUCCCAGUGGAUCCCAGGGGGUCCCCAGGUCUCAGAUGGAUCCCGGUGGAUCCCGGUGGAUCCCGGUGGAUCCCGGAGGAUCCCGGUGGAUCCCUCACCUCCCCGGCCAG
rnacentral:lncRNA from 1 species